UACGGGGGGAGCAAGCGUUGUUCGGAUUUACUGGGCGUAAAGGGCGCGUAGGCGGCGUGGUAAGUCACUUGUGAAAUCUCCGAGCUUAACUCGGAACGGUCAAGUGAUACUGCUGUGCUAGAGUGCGGAAGGGGCAACUGGAAUUCUCAGUGUAGCGGUGAAAUGCGUAGAUAUCGAGAGGAACACCUGCGGCGAAGGCGGGUUGCUGGGCCGACACUGACGCUGAGGCACGAAAGCGUGGGGAGCAAACAGG
rnacentral:rRNA from 1 species